rnacentral:rRNA from 1 species
GACGAACGCUGGCGGCGCGCCUAACACAUGCAAGUCGAACGAGCGAGAGAGAGCUUGCUUUCUCAAGCGAGUGGCGAACGGGUGAGUAACGCGUGAGGAACCUGCCUCAAAGAGGGGGACAACAGUUGGAAACGACUGCUAAUACCGCAUAAGCCCACGACCCGGCAUCGGGUAGAGGGAAAAGGAGCAAUCCGCUUUGAGAUGGCCUCGCGUCCGAUUAGCUAGUUGGUGAGGUAAUGGCCCACCAAGGCGACGAUCGGUAGCCGGACUGAGAGGUUGAACGGCCACAUUGGGACUGAGACACGGCCCAGACUCCUACGGGAGGCAGCAGUGGGGAAUAUUGCACAAUGGGGGAAACCCUGAUGCAGCGACGCCGCGUGGAGGAAGAAGGUCUUCGGAUUGUAAACUCCUGUUGUUGAGGAAGAUAAUGACGGUACUCAACAAGGAAGUGACGGCUAACUACGUGCCAGCAGCCGCGGUAAAACGUAGGUCACAAGCGUUGUCCGGAAUUACUGGGUGUAAAGGGAGCGCAGGCGGGAAGACAAGUUGGAAGUGAAAUCCAUGGGCUCAACCCAUGAACUGCUUUCAAAACUGUUUUUCUUGAGUAGUGCAGAGGUAGGCGGAAUUCCCGGUGUAGCGGUGGAAUGCGUAGAUAUCGGGAGGAACACCAGUGGCGAAGGCGGCCUACUGGGCACCAACUGACGCUGAGGCUCGAAAGUGUGGGUAGCAAACAGGAUUAGAUACCCUGGUAGUCCACACUGUAAACGA